rnacentral:rRNA from 2 species
ACGGGCAAACCGCGAAUGGCUCAUUAAAUCAGUCCGGGUUCCUUAGGCGACACGGCCCUCGCGGGCGUUACGGAUAACUGUGGCAAAUCCAGAGCUAAUACGUGCGACUCGAGCCCCGACCCGCCACCCGGCGGGGAAGGGCGCUUUUAUUAGUACAAGACCGGCGUCCGUUGGCGCAAGCCGCGGACCCUCGUCAGGCGAACUCUGGAUAACUUUGGCCCGACCGCUCCGUCCCUCGGGACGGCGGCGCGCCUUUCAAGCGUCUGCCCUAUCAAAUGUCGACGGUAGGUCACACGCCAACCGUGUUGGCGACGGGUGACGGGGAAUCGGGGUUCGGUUCCGGAGAGGGAGCACGAGAAACGGCUACCACAUCCAAGGAAGGCAGCAGGCGCGCAACUUACCCACUCCCGGCUCGGGGAGGUAGUGACGAGAAAUAACGAUGCGGGUCUCGAGUCGGGCCCCGCGGUCGGAAUGAGCGCAGUCCAAACCCCUGACGGCGACGACCCAUCGGAGGGCAAGCCUGGUGCCAGCAGCCGCGGUAAUUCCAGCUCCGAUAGCGUAUAUUAAAGCUGCUGC